UACGUAGGGCGCAAGCGUUGUCCGGAAUUAUUGGGCGUAAAGAGCUCGUAGGCGGUCUGUUGCGUCCGCUGUGAAAACCCAGGGCUUAACCCUGGGCUUGCAGUGGAUACGGGCAGACUAGAGGCAGGUAGGGGAGAAUGGAAUUCCCGGUGUAGCGGUGAAAUGCGCAGAUAUCGGGAGGAACACCGGUGGCGAAGGCGGGUCUCUGGGCCGAUACUGACGCUGAGGAGCGAAAGCGUGGGGAGCGAACAGG
rnacentral:rRNA from 1 species